rnacentral:lncRNA from 1 species
UUAAGGACCAAAUUGAGGACUAAAACCUAAUACGAUUUAUCUGUGAAGACUUCCAAGCCUUCUGAAUUUAUGAGAACUCCACUCAGAGCACCCUCCAAUAACGAUUACAUAAACUUAUUACACUUAAGGGCCAACAUUUAUGUACCUUGGUAAUUUGGUCUGGAUUUCCAUUACAAAGAAAACAACCUUGGCAAGAGCUCCAAACACAGCAGGCAAACCAAACGUGAAAUGAACUCCAGAUGCAUCGUGAGUUCUGAGAGUAGGCAA